rnacentral:rRNA from 1 species
UACCACAGCCAUAUCACCCUGCAGCCCAAGACUGGUUGCCCACUGAAGCUAAGCAGGGUUGAGCCUGGUCAGUACCUGGAUGGGAGACCUCCUGGGAAAACUAGGUUGCUUGCUGGAAC